ACUCCUACGGGAGGCAGCAGUGGGGAAUAUUGGGCAAUGGGCGCAAGCCUGACCCAGCAAUGCCGCGUGGGUGAAGAAGGUCUUCGGAUUGUAAAGCCCUUUCGGCGGGGACGAUGGUGACGGUACCCGCAGAAGAAGCCCCGGCCAACUUCGUGCCAGCAGCCGCGGUAAUACGUAGGGUGCGAGCGUUGUCCGGAAUUAUUGGGCGUAAAGAGCUUGUAGGCGGUUUGUCGCGUCUGCUGUGAAGAUCCGGGGCUCAACCCCGGACUUGCAGUGGGUACGGGCAGACUAGAGUGUGGUAGGGGAGACUGGAAUUCCUGGUGUAGCGGUGAAAUGCGCAGAUAUCAGGAGGAACACCGAUGGCGAAGGCAGGUCUCUGGGCCACUACUGACGCUGAGAAGCGAAAGCAUGGGGAGCGAACAGGAUUAGAUGCCCUGGUAG
rnacentral:rRNA from 1 species